GCUCCGGUAGCCUAGUGGUUAAAGCGUCCGCCUCGGAUGUGGGAGGUCGCGGUUUCGGACCCCGGCUGAUUCA